rnacentral:rRNA from 1 species
UACGUAGGGUGCGAGCGUUGUCCGGAAUUAUUGGGCGUAAAGGGCUCGUAGGCGGUUUGUCGCGUCGGGAGUGAAAUCCACUGGCUUAACUGGUGGCUUGCUUUCGAUACGGGCAGACUGGAGGUAUGCAGGGGAGAACGGAAUUCCUGGUGUAGCGGUGAAAUGCGCAGAUAUCAGGAGGAACACCAGCGGCGAAGGCGGCGCUCUGGGCUGGCACUGACACUGAGGAGCGAAAGCGUGGGGAGCGAACAGG